GUCCUCAACUGACGCUAAAGCUCGAAAGUGCGGGUAUCGAACAGGAUUAGAUACCCUGGUAGUCCGCACGGUAAACGAUGGAUGCCCGCUGUUGGCGAUACAAUGUCAGCGGCCAAGCGAAAGCGUUAAGCAUCCCACCUGGGGAGUACGCCGGCAACGGUGAAACUCAAAGGAAUUGACGGGGGCCCGCACAAGCGGAGGAACAUGUGGUUUAAUUCGAUGAUACGCGAGGAACCUUACCCGGGCUUGAACUGCAGAGGAAGGAAUGAGAGAUCAUGACGCCCUUCGGGGUCUCUGUGGAGGUGCUGCAUGGUUGUCGUCAGCUCGUGCCGUGAGGUGUCGGCUUAAGUGCCAUAACGAGCGCAACCCUUUUCUUCAGUUGCCAUCAGGUUAAGCUGGGCACUCUGGAGACACUGCCACCGUAAGGUGUGAGGAAGGUGGGGAUGACGUCAAAUCAGCACGGCCCUUACGUCCGGGGCUACACACGUGUUACAAUGGGUGAUACAGAGCGUCGGCGUCUGGCAACAGCCGUCCAAUCGCUAAAGUCAUCCUCAGUUCGGAUUGGGGUCUGCAACCCGACCCCAUGAAGCUGGAUUCGCUA
rnacentral:rRNA from 1 species